CUGAAAGCAGCCUGGGAGGGGUGACGGGGUGUAGGAGCAGAGACUUCAAGUGGCCCCCACCUGCCAAACCAUUCUCAGGGACAGGUACCAGCUGGGAUGUUGGCAGCAGCCGCUCCCCUGCAAGGAGAACCUCCCACUUCCUGUCCCGCACACCUGCCUCAUUGGAAAGUGACGCACCCACUGUUUGGCCUCGGCAGCCUGAUGUUUCUCAUCACACAGGAAGACGGUCAUGCUACAGGAAGACCUCGGACUUUGCAUCCAGCAGAUGGUUGUUCUAGAGAUUGUCAGACCGAGACCACGCCACACACCCAGAAGGCACCCAAGUCACAGAGCCUGAUAUUGUUCCUGGAGCGCCAUUGCAUCAUCCUUGACCACAAGAUCUGCGUCAUUGGAUUUGUCUCAAAAACUUGGGACUCUGGAGAUAAAACCUCAUUGCAAGGCUACCUUUGCCACUGUAUCUUAGCAGCUUUUGAAGCAA
rnacentral:lncRNA from 10 species